UAUGUCUAUAGUAAAUUGAGU
rnacentral:piRNA from 1 species